UACGUGGGGUGCAAGCGUUAAUCGGAAUUACUGGGCGUAAAGCGUGCGCAGGCGGUUUUGUAAGUCUGAUGUGAAAUCCCCGGGCUCAACCUGGGAAUUGCAUUGGAGACUGCAAGGCUAGAAUCUGGCAGAGGGGGGUAGAAUUCCACGUGUAGCAGUGAAAUGCGUAGAGAUGUGGAGGAACACCGAUGGCGAAGGCAGCCCCCUGGGUCAAGAUUGACGCUCAUGCACGAAAGCGUGGGGAGCAAACAGG
rnacentral:rRNA from 1 species